rnacentral:lncRNA from 1 species
CUUGCUUCUAGUUUUUAUUGCGGGAUAUUUGCUGCUGAAUCAAAACAAACGUUUAACUCAGUGAGAUAAAUCCACACAUCACAAAGCAUUUUCAUGGAUAGCUUGCUUCUAGUUUUUAUUGCGGGAUAUUUGAUUUUUCACUAUAGGCCUGAAUGGGGUCUGAAAUGUUGCUUUGCAGAUUCUACAAAAAGAGUGUUUCCAACCUGCUGAAUCAAAACAGAGGUUUAACUCUUUGAGAUGAAUCCACACAUUGCAAAACAUUUUUACAGAUAGUUUGUUUUAGUUUUUAUGACAGGAUAUUUUGUUUUUCACUAUAGGAAUGAAUGGGCUCAAUAAUGUCCCCUUAGAUUGUACUAAAAAAUUGUUUCCAAACUGCUCUAUAAAAGCAAAGGUUUAACUCUGUGAGAUGAAUCCACACAUCACAAAGCAUUUUCACAGACAGUUUGUUUCUAGUUUUUAUCACAGGAUAUUCAGCUUUUCACUAUAAGCCUCAAAGGGCUCCGAAAUGUUCCUUCAUAGAUUCUACGAAGAGAGUAUUUCUAACCUGCUGAAUCAAAACAAACAUUUAACUCAUUGAGAUGAAUCCACACAUUGCAAAGCAUUUUCACAGAUUGAUUGUAGUUUUAUCACAAGAUACUCGGUUUUUCACUUUAGGCCUCACGAAGUAGACUGUCACGAAGUAGACUGUAAAAAAUAAGUGUCUCCAGCCUGCUGAAUAAAACCCAAAAUUUAACUCUGUGAGAUGCAAACAUAUAUUGCAAAGCAUAUUUACAGAUAGCCUGUUUCUAGUUUUAAUUGUGGGAUAUUGAGUUUUUCACCACAGGCCUUAAUGGACUCAAAAAAGACUCCUCUUAGAUUCUACUAAAUAUGUGUUUCCAACCUGUGUAUAAUAACAAAUAUUUAACUCUGUGAAAAAGAUCCAUUUAUAGCAAAGCUUUUUCACAAAUAGCUUGUUUCUAGUUUUUAUUGCAGAAUAUUCGAUGUUUCUCUGUAGGCCUUCAGUGUUCCUUCAUAGAUUUUACAAAAAGAAUCUUUACAACCUGCUGAAUCAAAACAAAGGUUUAACUCUGUGAGAUGAACCCACACAUCACAAAGCAUUUUCACAGAUAGCUUGUUUCUAUUUCUUAUCAGUUUUUAUUAAGAGGCUUCAAUGGGCUCUGAAAUUUUCCCUCAUAAACUCUAUUAAAAGAGUGUUUCCAACCUGCUGAAUCAAAACAAAGGUUUAACUUGUGAGAUGAAUCCACACAUCACAAAGCAUUUUCACCCAUAGCUUAUAUCUAGUUUUUACUGAGGGUAAUUGGUUUUUCACUAAAGGCCUCAAUGGGCCCUGAAUUGUCCCUUUGUAGAUUCAAAGAGUUUCCAACCUGAUGAAGCAAAACAAAGGUUUAAAUUUGUAAAAUGAAUCUACACAUCACAAAGCAUUUUUACAGAUAGGUUGUUUCUAGUCUUUAUCAAGGGAUAUUCGAUUUUUCACUAUAGGCCUCAAUGGGCUAUGAAAUGUCUCCUUGUAGAUUCUACAAAAAAAGAGUUUCCAACCUGCAGAAUCAAAUGAAAAGUUCAACUUCUGAGAUAAAAUCACACAUCACAAAGUAUUUUCAGAGGUAGCUUCUUUACAGUUUUUAUCGCAGGAUAUUUGAUUUUUCUCUAUAGGCCUCAAUGAGCUCUGAAAUGUCCCUUCAUAGAUUCUACAACAAGAGUAUUUCCAACCUGCAAAAUAAAAACAAAGGCUUAACUCUGUGAGAUAAAUCCACACAUCACAA